UCACCCACGCAACAGAACACCACUGAGACGGUGACUAGUGAGUCCACGUUAACGCCGGCCUCACCAACAACGCCAUCAACGACCACAUGGGUCCAGCAGGUGGUGGACAAGAUUCGCGUUGCUGCCAAAGGUGCCUUGCUCCUGCUCGUCCAACGCAGCGUGUUGCACUCUUUCUCGCCUGACAGUGGGCUCGAUCCGCGCGCCGUGGUGCGCGGCCUGGUGCAGCUAGUGGUGGACACGCACGCCCAUGGCGUUGUGCUUGGCGACGAGCACCUUCACCAAAGCGACUUGAAGGAAGUGUUGAAGGACGUGAACGACCUCUCGGCCGAAAUCUACCCCUACCAUGGGCUCGUCAGAUACGACAAGUACAGUGGAGAACGGGCUGAACUGCGUUCACUGUUGGCUUACGU